rnacentral:lncRNA from 1 species
UAAAGGUUAGUUCAUAAUUUCUCUCUCUUGAGUUAAAGUCUGCUUCCAUUGCAGGAUCAGUGACCAAGAUUGGACAGGCUUCCAUGAAUCAAAACUUAAUGGUGGUUGCCACCAAGCUCUGUUCACUUAUUUUUGACCUAUAUCCAAGAGUUCUUUGCGAAAGCGAGCUUUGAAGAUUGCCGCCUCCAAAUCCCGUUUCGAACUCUUUUAUUGGAGUCUUUUCUGAAUCAAGCCUUAAUGGUUUUAGCCACCAAGUCCUGUUCAGACUCAUCCUAAUUAAACAAGAGAUCUUAUUUUUUUUUUAUAUUUUUUUAAACAUUCUACACAAAGCUUUACCUUCCAGACUUGUCUGAAAAAUCCAAUCCCAUGUAUACCAAGCCCCAAGACAAGCAGUGAAGUCAGGUUAGUGUUGGAGGUUAGCUUCGGUUCUUUCUAACAAGCUAGCAAGUGUGUAUAGUUGACUGCUUGAUCCACUUUAGUAUCUAUAGUAUUAUCUGCAGUCAGUAAAUCUAGAAUGGUGCUAGAAAGUGGUUAGACAUUCAAGUAGAAAUCAUUAGUUCAUAAUCCCCUUCUUGACUCAAUAAAAUUAUUUUUGAAAAGAUUUUUGACAAAAACUCAAGAAAGUGGUGUUAAUAACUACCUCCCCCAGACUUAAAUUGCAC